GACGAACGCUGGCGGCGUGCUUAACACAUGCAAGUCGAACGGAAAGGCCCUGCUUUUGUGGGGUGCUCGAGUGGCGAACGGGUGAGUAACACGUGAGUAACCUGCCCUUGACUUUGGGAUAACUUCAGGAAACUGGGGCUAAUACCGGAUAGGAGCUCCUGCUGCAUGGUGGGGGUUGGAAGGUUUCGGCGGUUGGGGAUGGACUCGCGGCUUAUCAGCUUGUUGGUGGGGUAGUGGCUUACCAAGGCUUUGACGGGUAGCCGGCCUGAGAGGGUGACCGGCCACAUUGGGACUGAGAUACGGCCCAGACUCCUACGGGAGGCAGCAGUGGGGAAUAUUGCACAAUGGGCGGAAGCCUGAUGCAGCAACGCCGCGUGCGGGAUGACGGCCAUCGGGUUGUAAACCGCUUUCGCCUGUGACGAAGCGUGAGUGACGGUAAUGGGUAAAGAAGCACCGGCUAACUACGUG
rnacentral:rRNA from 1 species